GACAGAGGGUGCAAGCGUUGUUCGGAAUUACUGGGCGUAAAGGGCGCGUAGGCGGCCUACUAAGUCGGACGUGAAAUCCCUCGGCUCAACCGGGGAACUGCGUCCGAUACUGGUGGGCUCGAAUCCGGGAGAGGGAUGUGGAAUUCCAGGUGUAGCGGUGAAAUGCGUAGAUAUCUGGAGGAACACCGGUGGCGAAGGCGGCAUCCUGGACCGGUAUUGACGCUGAUGCGCGAAAGCCAGGGGAGCAAACGGG
rnacentral:rRNA from 1 species